UAUUAUGUUGAAUUCAUGAUUUGUAGAUAAGGGAUUCAAUGAUUGCUUGACUGUGGAGGGAAAUUAGAGUUGAUAAGAUAUUGAGGGAAGGGAAAAAAAGAGGGUAAUUUCAAGCAGGCGCUAAGAAGCAUCGAUGCGUUCCCGAGAGCAGAAGACCAAAUCCGUGGAGUAUGAUGAACCGCUAAAAUGAAUUAAGGGUUUGGCAUUCAAGUUUGACUGGUGGUGUUGGGAGAGAGAGAGAGAGAGAGCAUAAUUGGUUGGAGCAAUGGACCAAUGUACUAAUCUUUUUCUGUGAAUUUUCAUUGAUGCGGCUUGGUAUAAUAGGCCAUGCAAUAAAUUGUAUGGUCACCUUAGGGUGUGAACUAUUUUGCCUGAUUCCUGUGAGGCAGGUAUUUUAGAUGCCAUUGAUUUUUUAUAGUGAUGAAUUGGUUCAC